UUUUAAAAGGAUUUUGGAACCCUAAGUCCCUACAUGUCACGGCCUAGAGAAAUUUUAAGGAGGGAAUGGAAUUUCAUAAAACCAAUUCCAUAUUUGGAUUCUACAUGAAAAAUCAUGUAGGAUUAGCCCUUAAAAGUUUCAAGAAUUAAGUUAAGAAAGUUAGGCCAAAAUUCAAGAUAAAAGGGUUUUGAGCUAGAGUUAAAUUAUGGGGUUUAUGUAAUGAUCUAAGUGGCAUUGUUGGUUGUUAAAUAGGCUUUAUACAACCUCAAAGAAGGGCCACGGUUUGGAAGAGGAAAAAGAGCCAAGUAAAGGGCCUUCACUAGCCAAGAGCAAGGGCAAAGAGGUGGCCAAGAAGAAAAGGUAAAGUAUCUUGAAGAAGUUGGAAAUUCAAGAAGACAUAGAAAAACCCUAUUUGCAAAGUUAUGUAAUUAAAGUAUGUUUUAGGGUUUAUGUCUUCAUGCAUGGUAGAAAAGCAUGCUAGAUGUUAUUAUGAAGUUAUUUGCAUGCUUA